rnacentral:lncRNA from 1 species
GGGGGAGGGGGAAGGGCCGGGGGGCGCCUGUCCCCUCCUCCCUCACGCCGGGGGGCCGUUUGGUCACUCACUCCGUCGGGAAACCCCAGGCCGGUCCGAGGGGCAGGGGAAGAGGAGACCCCGCCCCAUCUCCAGGCCCCGAGCCUUCCCCCCUGAGCAUCCCAGCUCCCCCCUGCACCCCCUCUCCCCCUCCCCGGGUCCCCCCCUCCCCCGUCUCUAGGCCCUUCACACCCCUCUCCCAGCCCCCGCACCCCCAGGCCCCUUCCCCCCGCGCCCCGUGGCUCUGACAGUCCAGUGGGGCCCUCCGGCCACCCCGUUCCCACCCCAUCCACGCCCCACCGCUCACUCUGGCCCCUUCCUCGCUGCUAAUUUAUUUGAGAGAAGUGGGGAGGGGGCAGGGGAGGGCCCGGGAAGGGGGGAGGAGGGGAGAAGAAAGGAGGGAGAGGCCGGGGCCGGAGGAGGGGGAGGAGCAGGAGGGGAGGGCAGGGGAGGGGGCCGGCCGAGGGGGUCGUGGCCGCGGGGGGAGGGGGCCGGGCCGCCUCCUGACCGCCCCCCCUCCCCUCCCGUCCCCUCCCCUCCCCCCUCAGGCCCCGGACACCACCGCUCCGGCCGCGGCCGGACCAGGAGCGGCAGCGGCGGCGGCGGCGGAGUCCGAGGAUGGGCUCCUGGCCCCACGACCCCCGGCCCCACGACCCCCGGCCCCGGGCCGGCAGACCCCCCGGGGCCCGCACGCUGACCUAGAGCCGGGCCCGGAAUGCCCAGGGAUCCUCUCCCCAACUCCUCUGCCGUGAGAUGGAUACCUUCAGAGAGGGCCAGGCUUCAGGAGACCCCAUCCCCACCCCCACGAUGGGCUGCAGAGACACCCCCCCCCCACACACACACGCGAGUACUUAGGCUUCAGAGUCCACAGUCCCACGCCUUCAAGAUCCAGAAGCCCCCUCAUCCCCAAGAAGGACCCGACCUGCAAGGACCCUCCAGAAGGGCUCAGGCCGCAGAGUCGGCUCCCAGAGAGGGAUCCAGGAUGCGGGGGACCCCAUUCCCCACUUCCAAGAGGGGCCGGGGCUGCGGAGACCCUCCCCACGAGGGCUCAACCUGCACCCCUCCCCCCCAAGUGGGGUCCGGGCUUCAGAGGCCUGAGAGGGUCCCGGCCUACAGAAGGGACGCCUCCCCGGCCCCCCAGAUGGUCUCCCCUCCAGGCGGACUCGAUUAGAGGCGAGCAAUGAAAGCUCAGGCCCCAGUCUGGGGCUGCAGAGCUGGACAGCAGAGGCCCCCUGGCCUCCCCUUCCCCACCCCCCGC